rnacentral:rRNA from 1 species
AAGAAUUCUCGCAGUAAUGGCGAAUGAACAUGGAACAGCUCCCAUUGACAAUCUGCUCUGUUUUUCCAGGUGUGUUGUUCAAAGUUGCAUAACUAACAAAAGCGCUUGUGCCUAAUGUUUGGGAUAUGUGGCAAUGAAGGUGAGCCUCCUGCAUUUCAUGUACGUUUUUGUGCAAGGUAUGCUUCCAAGAAUCGUGCCCCUCAAUCUUGGAGUGCAAAGUUGGUGGUAAAAUGUGUGUAAAGCCCAACAGCUGUUUGAGAGCGAUAGCGAACAAUUACUAUGAGGGAAACGUGAAAAGGACUUUGAAAAGAAUGUUACAAUUACCUGAAAUUGCUGGAAUGAAAGCAAAUGGUGUGUUGAUGUUGAGCAGGGUUAUAGUGCGCAAGCAUCAGCCAGAGGGCGGGCCUCCUUUACUUGUGGUUGUGUGGGCAUGCAGAUCAUCUUGCUCUGCGUGCGCAAGUGGCUUGGAACUCUCAUAAUGCAGCAAGCAGGGGCAACAUGCCUAUUGCAUGGCGUGGACAUGUCAAACUUGACAGUGAAGGUUAUUUCUAUUACUUAGAUGAUGCUUGCAGGACAAGGAUGAUGUCCUGGAGUCAUGCCUGGGUUAUAAAUUGCAUGGAAUAUGUCAUUUGACCCGUCUUGAAACACGGACUAAGGAGUCUAAUGCAUGUGCGAGUAGUUGAGUUAUAAUUUGGAGUGAAGUGAAAGUGACAUUUUGGGAUGUGUGCGCCAAAGGCCAGUCCUGCUUGUGAGAGUUUUGCGUUUGAGCAUGCGCAUUAGGACCCGAAAGAUGGUGAACUAUGCUUGGGGAACAUAAAUUCAGGGGAAACUCUGAAGGAGGCUUGCAGCGGUACUGACGUGCAAAUCGUUCGUCUUACUUGGGUAUA